UCCUAAGUUCAGGUGCCUGGGGUAAGGAGAAAGCUUCACUCAAGUUUGUUCAAGUCAAUAUAUAGCAGGUGUUUUGUCCAGGUUGGUCAGUGGAGAGCACUUCAGAUAACAUUUAUGAACCAAAGAAUGGGAAUUUCAGUGUCCUGAAUCUGCCUUGUCAUAGGUAAACAAAGGGAGCAUCUAUGAAUCUUACAUAAAUCAUAUGGGAAAGGAUCAUGCCCUGCAAAGAACACAGAAGGGGCCCAGUGGGAAGACAAGUGUCUGCAACUCAGCGAAAGAGCUAUCUCCAGACACUGAUGCUGCUGGCACCUUGACCUUGGACUUCCUGUCUCCAGAAAUGUGAUAAAAAAAGAAGAAGGAAGAAGCGGAGGAGGAGAAUAAUUACUUAAGCCAAAGACUUCUUGGAACCAAUUUGGGAAGUUACAUCAAGUGAUGCUGGCUCUAUUGAUCUCGUCUUUGAAUUAAUAUUACAAAUUUAGGUAGGAAAUGCAGGAAAAAAUGGGAUAAAUGGCAGUGUUUGUAUAAUUUAA